UACGGAAGGCAGCAGUGGGGAAUAUUGCACAAUGGGCGAAAGCCUGAUGCAGCUAUGCCGCGUGUAUGAAGAAGGCCUUAGGGUUGUAAAGUACUUUCAUCGGGGAGGAAAAAACAAAACUAAUAAUUUUAUUUCUUGACGUUACCCGAAAAAGAAGCACCGGCUAACUCCGUGCCAGCAGCCGCGGUAAUAUGGAGGGUGCUAGCGUUAAUCAGAAUUACUGGGCGUAAAGAGCACGUAGGUGGUUUUUUUAAGUCAGAUGUGAAAUCCCUGGGCUUAACCUAGGAACUGCAUUUUGAAACUGAAAUACUAGAGUAUCGUAGAGGGAGGUAGAAUUCUAGGUGUAGCGGUGAAAUGCGUAGAUAUCUGGAGGAAUACCUGUGGCGAAAGCGGCCUCCUAAACGAAUACUGACACUGAGGUGCGAAAGCGUGGGGAGCAAACAGGGAUUAGAUACC
rnacentral:rRNA from 1 species